AUGGCGGCCGCCGGCAACGCCCCCCGCUCCCGCAAGCGCCAGGUGUUCUCCAGAAUGGUCGCCCAUAGGGUGGUGGGUCGCGCGCUGCCGACCCCCGGCGAUGAGCAGCCCAAGAUCUACCGCAUGAAGCUCCGGGCCACCAACGAGGUCCGCACCAAGUCCAAGUUCUGGUACUUCCUGAGGAAGCUCAAGAAGGUGAAGAAGGCCAACGACCAGACGCUCGCCAUCAACGAGCCUACUUUCUUGUGCUCCUGGUCGAGUCUUGUGGAGAAGCAGGGCGAAUCGGGCAUCAUCUCACUUGUGCCUCUGUGGUAA
rnacentral:rRNA from 1 species